GUACUGCCGAGGAUUCCCAGACUAGGAGGAAACAGCUGUCCUGUAC
rnacentral:hammerhead_ribozyme from 1 species